rnacentral:rRNA from 1 species
CUACGGGGGGCUGCGGUGAGGAAUAUUGCACAAUGGGGGGAACCCUGAUGCAGCAACGCCGCGUGGAGGAUGACGCAUUUCGGUGUGUAAACUCCUUUUAUAUGUCAAGAAAAUGACGGUAGCAUAUGAAUAAGCACCGGCUAACUCCGUGCCAGCAUCCGCGGUAAUACGGAGGGUGCAAGCGUUACUCGGAAUCACUGGGCGUAAAGGACGCGUAGGCGGGUUGGAAAGUCAGGUGUGAAAUCCUACAGCUUAACUGUAGAACUGCACUUGAAACUUCUAAUCUAGAGUAUGGGAGGGGGAGAUGGAAUUAGUGGUGUAGGGGUAAAAUCCGUAGAUAUCACUAGGAAUACCUAAAGCGAAGGCGAUCUCCUGGAACAUUACUGACGCUAAGGCGUGAAAGCGUGGGGAGCAAACAGGAUUAGAUACCCUAGUAGUC